AUGGCCAACGCGGGUCAAAGCGCAGUAUCUUUUCUUAUCAGCUUAAUAUUUGACACGGGUUGUAUUCACACGCAAGAUAAUAAACUUAUUUUUGCAAGUUGGCGGAGUGCUUGAAGCCUGCUUCACCUCCGUCGCGGGUCGGCCUGAUAUUGCACUGUCCUCCGGAUUAUUGGUCUACGGACA